rnacentral:rRNA from 1 species
GACGAACGCUGGCGGCGUGCUUAACACAUGCAAGUCGAACGAAGCGGCGAACGGGUGAGUAAUACGUGGGUAACCUGCCCUCCUUUUUGGGAUAAGCCUUGGAAACGGGGUCUAAUACCGAAUAAAGGGGGAUGGGCUCGCGGCCUAUCCGCGGGUUGGUGGGGUGAUGGCCUACCAAGGCGGUGACGGGUAGCCGGCCUGGGAGGGUGACCGGCGACGUUGGGACGUGGAUACGGCCAAGGCUGCUACGGGGGGGAGCAGUGGAGGAAAUUGAGCAAUGGGCGAAAGCCUGAGGCGGCGAGGGCGAGUGGGGGAUGGAGGCUUACAGGUUGUAAACCUCUUUCGCAGUCGAAAGGGUAGGUGGAGAAGAAGCACCGGCUAACUACGUGCCAGCAGCCGCGGUAAUAC